rnacentral:rRNA from 1 species
UACGUAGGGCGCAAGCGUUGUCCGGAAUUAUUGGGCGUAAAGAGCUCGUAGGCGGUUUGUCGCGUCUGCUGUGAAAACCUAAGGCUCAACCUUGGGCUUGCAGUGGGUACGGGCAGACUAGAGUGCGGUAGGGGUGACUGGAAUUCCUGGUGUAGCGGUGGAAUGCGCAGAUAUCAGGAGGAACACCGAUGGCGGAGGCAGGUCACUGGGCCGCAACUGACG